rnacentral:rRNA from 1 species
AACGAACGCUGGCGGCGCGUUUUAAGCAUGCAAGUCGAACGGUAGCGGUAGCAAUACUGCGAGAGUGGCGCACGGGUGAGUAAGACGUAGGUGAUCUACCUUUGGGUGGGGGAUAGCCCAUGGAAACAUGGGGUAAUACCGCAUGAGGCCUUGGGAGUGGAGUCCUGAGGAUAAAGGAGCAAUUGUUCCGCCUGGGGAUGAGCCUGCGGUCCAUUAGCUAGUUGGCGGGGUAAGAGCCCACCAAGGCUACGAUGGAUAGCCGGCCUGAGAGGGUGUACGGCCACACUGGGACUGAGACACGGCCCAGACUCCUACGGGAGGCAGCAGCUAAGAAUCUUCCGCAAUGGGGGAAACCCUGACGGAGCGACGCCGCGUGGGCGAUGAAGGCCGGAAGGUUGUAAAGCCCUUUUCUUGGCGAAGAAUAAGGCUGGCAGUGGACUGGCCAGUCGAUGACGUUAGCCGAGGAAUAAGCCCCGGCCAAUUACGUGCCAGCAGCCGCGGUAAGAC